UUUAGUUGUUUAAUAAUUUACAAAGAAUAAAGUUCAACGGGCAGAAAAGGGAAGGGAGGGCAUUACAGAGGGCAGGAAUUGAGUUGAGGCAUUGAAGUUGCAUGGCAUGCCCAAGAAAUGGGGAGGCGUCGGGGUGGCUCUGUGCCAGGCUGAGUGGAUGGGAGUGGGCGAGGGUGGGGCUGUAGUGAAGGUGUAACAGUGGGAAGUAUGCUGGCUUGGAAUCAGACCAUGCUUUGAAUUUGAGCUGUGUCAUUCAUCAGAUGAAUAACUUCACAGAAGUCAACUUAACCCUUCUCAUACUCAGUUUUUUCAUCUGUGAAAAUGGCGUUUGUUCAGAUAAAGUUAGAAGAGACAGGUGAAGGCGUCAAGGACAUUGCCCACCUUUGUACGUACUCAGUAAAGGUUGGUUUUUCUCCUCCCCACUUCCCAUAGGAAGGCUUUGGUAAAGAACACAUGUCAUUACCCUCAUGGAGUUUCCAGCUUCGUUGCUAAGUUUUUUUCUCAACUUUUUCCCAGUGGGUCUCAAACCUGAGUGAGCGUCAGAAUCCUCUGGAAGGCUUGCUAAAACACAGAUUGUUGGGCUCCACCCCAGAGUUUCGCAUUCUGUAGCUCUGGGAUGGAACGAAACACUUUGCAUUUCUAACAAGUUCCCAGAUGCUGCUAAUGCUGUUGAUGUAGGGACCACACUUUGGGGAGCUCAGCUUUAUCAUGUUUUACCACAGGGCGGACCCUACUGGUUACUCACCCAACAGCCACCCUUCUUCCCUGCUGACAUAGCCCUGAAUUGAUCUGUGUGAGCUGUCAGUGAGGAGCCCGGUGUGGGGCUCAAACCCACGAACCGUGAGAUCAUGACCUGAGCUGAAAUCAAGAGUGGGAUGCUUAACUGACUGAGCCACCCGGGCACCCCAGCACAGAAAGAUUCUUUGAUUUGUCUCUAAUUCAGUGCCAGAAGAUGUAUGACGAUGGGUCAAAAGCAGUCAAGAUGUAUGAUGAUGGGUCAAAAGCAAUCAUGGUCAUCUCGGCUCCCUUCGCCACUCAUCAAUCUGAAGAUGGGCAAGUACCCCAGAGUGUCUAAAGAGAUGUGAGAAUGGAUUGGCUGAGAAAGACUCACAGGGAGAAGAGCUUCGGCCCCUUGCCCAUUCUUCCUGAAUGUGUACAUAUCGCUGAAGUUACAGUAGUCAUCUUGUGACCAAGAGAAGACAAACAUGAGGAGGACCAACAUGGCAGAUGUUAAGACAGAAAUACAGAAAGAACCUGGAUCUCCUAAGGCGUCACUGAGUGAGCCCUUUGAGUUGCCUACCUUGACUUGUUCUUACAUGAGAAAAAUCCACUCUUCUUUUUUGAAACCCCUGUAAUCCAUUUGUUGUUACUUGCAGCCAAACACACUCAUGAUUGAUACGACCUAUUGCAGUUCUGUGAUUUUGGUAACGUUGACCCCAUGUCAUAGAUGAAGACAGCAAGGCUCGGAAAAAAGAAGUUGACAUAUAGUGGUAGAGCUUAGAUUCCAACUCAAGUUCCCUGAUUGUAAGCCCUUGGCAUUCUCCAAUGACCUAUAGCCUAACCAUUCUUAUUAUUCCUUCCUACCAAAAUAUGUAUUAUUCGUUUUCCCUUAUAUUAAGGAAGAAGGACUUGAGAAGUCCCAUCUGUUCUGAGCUUUACUUGUACCUCUGUUGUCAGCCAGCUGACUUUCAUUUCCUAAUUAAGUAGUUAAUUCUACCCACAUUUACCUGUAUAUAUAAAUAAAACCUUUGGACUUUGAUAUA